CAUAACGUAGCUGUAGUGUAUACUGUGCUAUCAGAAGCAUUUUAGACAAGCCGUGAGACCAAACUAAUUAAAAUGUUCCACUGAGACUUUUUAAAGGUGCUGCUGCUGCAGUAUCCCUUGCGUACUACACUGAAAGAAAUAGCCUGGACGUGCACCUGGAAUGUGCUCAAAUGAUACCGUGCAACUUGGAAAUGCCCAGAGGCCUUUAUGGUGAGUUUUGUUGAACAAAGCACAGAAGUUCGAUCGCUGCAUGUCAAGAUGACACUAUUUUGAAUUAUUGGGGAAAAAAAAAAAGAUUUAAAAUAUUUGCUCUUUGAAUGAAAUGAGUAACUCCUAGAAUGACUUCAGGUGUGUAAGAAUCCAUCACUUCCCUAGCUAAUAGGAUUACGGAGGUGAUGAAUUGCCCACUGGAGGUUUUGAUAUCUCUGAAUAAAGAAGACAGCCUGCAAGCAAUACUUGCAGCCCGGGCAUUGCUAUAUACCGUGUUCUGGGCUCCACAGUAUAAAGAGGAUGUGAAGAUGCUUGACAGCAUCCGGAGGAGGGCAACAAAGCUGAAAGCACAAAAAUCUCAUGAAAGCAAAGAGAAUUGUACCUCCAAGAAACUCCUUAACAGCCACCACCACCAGAAGAUAAUGUCUGAUGAGCUUUUCUCAACCAAGAAUUUUCCUCCACCAUCUGGCACUGCCACUCAUCCUCCCAGAAGAGGCUGCCAGGCUCCCCCAGGAAGGCGCUGAAAACAGAGCACAGGUUCGGCUAGCACGGCGGUCUGGGAACUGCUUCCCAUCUCGUUAUAAGACCAAAACAGCAGGAGAUUCUGUUCCACGUCUCGUUUUCCAAGCUCAGAGGGAGAGAGGAUCGCGAGAGGCCAUCCAGCUUGAGGCUCAGAGCAGAGGUUCCUGAGACCUCCGUGCCAGGACACCACUUGUCAAGUAGGGCUUUGGUCUUAUUCUUCCCCUGGGUUGACCACUGUUAGACCAAAUGUUGCAUCACAUGUACGGGUGUACCUGUAAUGAAUCCGUACUGUAAUUCCACCUACAGUACUGUUAGCUAAAUAACAUGAACAUCUUAUAUGGGUGAAAUGCUACCUGUCACAUAGAUGAAUGUUUUCUGAGGUGUGUGUUUUCUGGUAAGAAAAACUGACUAGCAGGAUAUCUGAAUUCAAGCAUCUAUUCAUAAAUGCAUUGUACAACUGUAGCAGGUAUUAACAAGACAGCAAAAGGCUGCAGUAUGAUAUAAGCUUCUCUAACAAUUUCACCUCUCACAUUUCACACCUUUUCGUUAGGUAAGCAAGUACUAUAUGUUCCUCUGUACUCUAAAUAGUUCUCUAGUUCCUUUCUUAGAUGAACUGAGAAUAAAUAAUUUACCUGUUUUUAAGCAAACGCCGUUCCUUUGCUGCCUGAGAUUCUCAGUUUCAGAUGUGGUGGGUAAAAAACCAAUCCCCUCCUUCCAGCCUCCUGUAGGGCCCUCCAGGGAAUCCCUGUCGCAUUUCAUCUUACAGCAACUUCCUGGUUCUCAGGGUGCCUUCCGAAUAGCAACAGUUCUGUCUAUUUUAUUUGCUCCCUCUCUUACACAUGUGCAAUUUAAAAAACGUAAUUGAAACUAUAGCUUUUCACCUUGCCGUGUCUUUGUGGUUUGAACAGGCAAACAUCUAGAGAGAAAAUUUCUGCUUAUCAGCUACAGAAAUGCACGCCAAAGCCUGGAGAAAUCAGUGAACUUUGUAGGAGUUCACUUGCUGCUGAGCAGGUGUUCAUGGCUCAUCACAGGAACAGAGGUUUGGGCUAGGAUUAGCUUUUUACCUCUCCAAUCGAAGCAGCUUUUGCUGCAGUUCACACCUCUGGCCCUACCAGUCAGAUAGGUUACUGUGAAUUAGACUGGCCAAAUACAACAGUGAGGCAUCAAACAAAGGUGCGUCUCUCCUGCCCAGGUUUUUCUAUCCACACACACUGGUGAUGCUGGAGGAGCUCUGCCCUGCCAGGCUGGAUCCAGUGGCUGUAAGGAGAGCCUCUUUCUACAGUGUAACAAUCAGAAAGAUCAGCGUGGUGGAAUGGUGAUACAGGAGGUUUAAUGACAAAGAGAGUAGCGUGAUAGGAAAGGAAAAACACUCACCCAUCUCUGAUGAUCCAGGCUCACUGGGAAAACACCACAAGGGAGGCAUCUCCAACCAGAGAUCCUUCCCCAGUGGCAGUCAGCCCUUAAAUGAGGUCUAAGAGAGGUGCAGCCAGGCUCCACCCCUUCUGGUCGCACAGCUGAAUUGCCUUCACCUGUGCUCCCAGGGCUGACCAGGUCCUUUCCCCAGGUGCUCAAUGAGUGGUUCAGGCCAUGACUCAACAGUUCUCAACAUGGUAUCUGUAGGGCCCUGAGACUUUCUCUCACUUUUACAUAACUGGGCAUGCAGUUUUUUUAAGUAGAAGCUUGCUUUGAGGAAAGAAAAAAAAAGUUAUUAUUUUUUUUCACAGAGUCACAGAAUGGCCUGAGUUGGAAGGGACCCAGUAGAGUGGGAUCUUGGCCAAAAAUUCCUUCAGCAGCUUAAAGUUCGCUCUUCUGAAGUUCAGGGUCCUGACCCCACUGUUUGCCAGGCCCGCAUUCCUCGAGAUCAUGAACUCGGCCACAGCGUGGUCACUGCAGCCCAGGCUGCCUCCCACCUUAACACCUGUAAUGAUCAUCUCUGCAUUGGUGAGCAGCAGGUCCAGCAACACUUCACUCCUGGUUGGUCUGUCCAAUACCUGAACCAGAAAGUUAUCAUCAAUGGAUUCCAGGAGCCUCCUGGACCUCUUGGAACUCGCUGUGUGGUCUCUCCAUCAGAUAUCUGGAUGGUUGAAGUCCCUCACCAGGACGAGAGUCUGUGAGCACAAUGUCUCCUGCAUCUGAAGCAAGAAGGCCUUGUCAACGUCUCCCCUUGAUCAGCCACGGAUGCUCCUUGCAAAACCUGAUUCUGAAGAGACGAGCAUCGGGGCAGAAUACCUGGAAGUCUGACACCAGUCUUGCAGUGUGGCAUGGAACACCGACUGCAGCAGUCAGAGACCUGACCUGUGCCUCACUUCAGGUGAAGUUCGUGUCUUGCAGCUCCAGGGCUGUUCUCACAGCUUUCCCAGAAAGAGAAUUUGACUUUUGGUAUGCACUUUCUGGAGAUGAAAGUACACUGCUGCUUAUUUUUAUCUCAGAUCAAAUGAUGAGCAAUCACAUCUGGAGCAGGAUGCAGAAGAUCUGAAUAGAAGCCCAAGUUCUGUCACAGAUGCACAACAGAUUUUGGCAUGAUAGCUCCUGAUGUAGAUAUAUUCUGGCUAACUUUCAAGCUAACCAGGUGGGAUACGUAUAGCUGGAAGUCCUUAGGUAGGAUUCCCAGUCCCCAGCCUUCUGUACUUUUAAAUCUGUGCUGCUCAUGGUAUCCAACCUUGUCAGCUCCAAAACUAGGCAGAAUGUGCCUGUAUUGACUGACACAUCAAUGUCUGCCUUGCAGAACAGCAGCCAUUCAGGCUCUGAAUCAUCCUGCUCUGUCAGGGCAUGGGGAAGGACUGGGAAGCCAGAAUCAUGGCAUCUGAAACUUCAUAUUCCUGCACUCUGGAGAGACCCUGUGGGUGAGCCCUGGGAGCCAGAGGCCUCAAAGUGCCAGAGGGCAACCAUGGCUUUUGGUGUCACCUAUGAAACUGAGGACUUGAAAUCCCUGACUUUAACCUGAAUACAGAUCUUUCCACCUUAAGCCCUUUCCUAAUGAAAUCAAUAUUCUGGUCAGCUCUACUGCUAAGAAAAACAGCUGUAGCAGGAAGGGGAACAUAUUUUGUUUUCCCAGGUCCCUGCACUGAUGUUUCUCAAAUGAAAUUUUCUCUGACGUUCAGGCAUAAAAUCUUGAAAUUAAAAUGAAAUGUAAUUGCUAAUGAAUGGAAAGUAUUACAUGCUGGCCAGCUCUAUUUGUACAUACAAAAUAUCCUAGACACCUCAAAGUUUCUUUCAUGCCAUCUCAGAUUAUUGUCCUUUAUUGUUUUACCAAGAUCUCCAAAGCCAGCUGCUUAGGGGUUUUCACUGCCCAAACUCCCACUCGUUAUUCCAUUUGACACUCGGAUCCCUUGAGCAGCACUGAAAAAUUACUAAGCCUUAAUAUCUGUGCAAGAAUUCCAAACAAUAGCUACAACGAAGGAACUGGUCCUGGCACUAAAAACCCAUGAAUAUGUAAGACAAAUUGUAUCUGGAGAGAUAACGGGCUACCAGAAUCGUCUUUCAAAAGAUAUACAAUGUAAGCUGCACACUCCUCAAUAGCUCAAGGGGCUUACAGUCAAUAAAUUUAACAGGCUCAACCUAGAAAGUCAAAGCUAAAGUACAGUAUGCAAAUACAAGCUAGAGUGGACUCUUCUUUCUACCUUAGGACAGAGUUAAUAGAGGGGAAAUGACAAAAUACAUAAAAAGGAAUGCACGGGAUUUGACAGAGCAUGUUUUUUUUCCUUUUCACUUCAAGGCAAACUACCAGACUAUUUUGGUUUACAAAUAAAUCAAACAAAGAACUUUUAUCAGUUUGCAUAAAAGUCUCAUUUUCAGCACUGGAAAGAUUAAGCUUCAGAGCCUUUUUCUGUGUGUGUAUGUGAGGGAUUACAAAGGAAGUAGUGUAAAUAAUGACCUUGCUGAAAACAGAUUAGCUUCAAUGAUUAUAUAGUAAAAUAGUAAUGUUUUCUUCACUUACAGAUUAAAAUAUCAAUUGACAGUUUCCAUAAACAAGUAAAGCUCAUGGUUAUUCAGUGUAAUAGGAUAAUGACAGUAGCAGUAUCUGACAGCCCCAUUUCUGCCUCUUGACAUUAUUUAUGGUAUUCUGAUGCUCAGUCUAGGGAGCUGGAUCUUCAGCUUUGCCAGAUGUGUUUGCUGUGGCUCAGUGUUUAUGUGACAAAAACAUUUCCUUUAGGAAUUUCCUUUAUUUUACAGUUAUGUGGUCACACUAAAUACAAAUGUAUUGGACCCAUCACAUUCUUAUGGUUAUAAUCUUUUAAAGUCAACUUUUCAAGACCUACCCCUACUGCUCACAGGUGACUAAGAGCACAUAUGGGCUGAUUUCUCACUAGCUUACCCCUCAUACUGACAUCUACACUUAGUUUAAGUUGUCGGUCAAAACUGAAGCAGCUGGACUAUUCCCACCGAGACUCUGUUUUUCUUUUUUUUCUCUCCUGUCUUUGCUGUUUCUAAAAAGUACUACAAAGGAUGGAAACAGCAUACAUGGGAUGGAUACGGUGUUGGGUGUGGCAGGCCAGGUCUCUGCUCUGACUCAAUGGGGACUCUCAGGACAGAAAAAUCCAGCUUUGAGAGGGGCAGAGCAGAAGGAGGCUCCUGUAGUCCAAGUUAGUAUUUUAAUACAGAAAGCAACAGGCAAAUAUUCCUUCUCUUUGUGAGCAGGUCAGUGUUUAUGAGCACAAACUCAUCACAGGAGCCUUGGCUUGCAGUACCUGGGUUCUUCAAACAAAGCAAAGUGCAGUCUUGUCUAGCAUAUGUCCUGGCAGAGAAACCAGGGCUUUAAAGCAGCCUAUAAAAAUUAUGGUACACUAGCAAAAUUGGUUAAUGUUUAAUUAUGUUCAAUGGAGAAAGACUUAAAAGCCUGAAAUUCUGACUUCCUAAAUUGUCAAUCAUCUAAAAGACGCAGUAAGUUUUUUCUCGAACAGUAUCUUCUAUAAAAUUUAUUAAGCUGUAUGACACUGAGCCUGGGUUUCUACUUUAACUUCAUGCCAAUGGAAAGGAAGAUAAGCAGACAGGAAAAGGGUAUUGUGCUAUAGACUUGAGGUGCUGGAUUUUUUUUUUUCUUUUAAAUUCUAUCACAAAACUUGUUUAGGCAGAUCUCUGAAAAGUGCUCCCCUGAACUGGUCAAUGCAUCUUCAAAAAGGCUGUUAACCCUAACCGUGGGUAUUUGUACUCAUGGUAUGCCAUUUCUUAGCCUGUGUCUCUACAACAGUUUGUGAGUGCUGCGUAAUGGGGCUGUAGGCAAACACUGUGUAAAGCAGUCACAUCCAGCAAUGGUAGCAGUCUGUCUUCAGAAGCACAGAGCACAGUUCAAGCUACAAAAUCCAUUCAGAAUGUCGAAAAAAAUCAAGGAGAUUAACUUAUGCUGCACUCAGUGCUGCUCUAGUUGGUUUAAAACCUUAGCCAUAUUUACACUGAAGGGUCAAAAUGGUAGAAACAAACAAAACAAAUGAGCCUCAGCACCUGUUGUACAUGCAAGUAAUUGGAAAAAAAAAGGCUUAAAAAACAGGCUGCCAACCUUUGAUCUAUGGAGAAGGUGUCUGGACAUCACACAAGAUAUGACAGAGGAGCUCUCAAUGUAGAAGGGCAAUAGUAAGAAGCCACCCAGGGAAAGCAACAGACUAAUCUCAGAGUCCAGUGUAAGCAGAAAUCUUCUAACAGACAAAAUCAAUCCCUUCCAUGUUUUCUUUGUAGCUAAGUUGAGGAAACUAUCUCACGUAGAGAGUGAAAAAUGCACAUCCAGUGUAAUAAAUCUGCAUCCACAUAUGUCUAGCAAUUCACUUUUUCUUAUAAUUACCUUUUCUCUGUUAGUUCCUCUUGUUUCUUCAGCAGUCAUCCCAUGGAUACUUUCACGAAGAUGAUCUUGAGAAUAGAGAAUGCGCUGUCUUGUAAAGAGAAGAGAAAAUAAAAGGUUUUUGAGGGUUCUAUUCACCAUAACACGCCCAAGGGACUUCACUUACCAUCUAACUGUGCUGAUGGUAGCAGGAAAAGGCAACAGACAAAUGUAAAUCGACAAACUAGAACGCUGUUGUGCUUUCAGACUGCAUUAAAAAAGUGAAAGUCUAAAUGUUUUUGCUUUUCUUUACUGUUGCUUAGAAGUCUUUGAGGAAAGACUGAUGUUCCUUUUCCUUUACUUUUCCCAAAGUUUUAUUUUCCAGGUGUUGGGCCUGCAAAGAGCUGCUUUUAAAACUCUGGCGACAAUUUUACAUUCUGAAAGGAAUUCAAACAUUUUCACUUGCUCCAAAAUAUAUCAACUUAUAUAGCUUAUAUAACAAAUAUAGCUUAACAUUAAAAAAUACGGUGCCAUUACAUUUAUAAAACCCAAACCUUAAAUUCUUCAGUAUAAACUCCUUUACUUGUCAACUCUAUUUCAAUACAGAAAAAUAAUUUUAAAUACGAUCACUAUAAUAUCCUUAUGACAUACUUUUUUAUGAAGGUAUAGGAAAGGAGUCAGCAGUAUUCUGAAUACUAACUGAACAUAGCUUAUGACUAUGGCUAGCCAGACAGUAUUUGAAGUAGAUGGGAUCUGUUUCUGCUUUGUCUGGUCUUUGCCCAUAUCUAACCUAUAAAAAAGGCAAUUACUGAAGCAAAUGAUGAAGUUAGUAUUCAAUAAGAUAGUAAACUACUCAGUCAAAUGGUAUCAUACAGGUAAGAAAGGUCAAAUAGAAUUGAAACAGCAUAUUUAAGAAGAGGUAGGAAGCAUCAGCCCUAUCUACAAACAAUCAGCGAAGGGUAGGAUUUUCAACAGCCCCACUGAAGUUGAAGGGAAUCUCCCACUGACUCAAGCCAGGCAAACUUUAACUUUUAACUUUUUGGAAAACUUUAACCAAUCUAAUUUCAAAGGUCAUGUGCUUGUUGUUCAAAAUUAUGUGACUGUAAAUAACUUUUGUUACAGCAAAUGCUUAUCUGAUUUUAUAUUGCAUAACAAAAGGAUACAAUCUCACUCUGUAAGAUGCUCUAAACAGCGAAUUAUUUGUGAAGCAGUUCUAUCAUUACCUUAGUUGCCACUUGCUGUUCUCGAGUCCACAUUUUGUUUGUGUCACUGGUUCUAUUAAACUGCAGUGUUUCUUUUUUCUAAUUGUUUUUUGUUUUUCU
ensembl:lncRNA